rnacentral:rRNA from 1 species
CUAAUACAUGCAAGUCGAACGCGUCUCCGUURAUGAUUUUAGGUGCUUGCACUUGAAAGAUUUAACAUUGAGACGAGUGGCGAACUGGUGAGUAACACGUGGGUAACCUGCCCUUGAAGUAGGGGAUAACACUUGGAAACAGGUGCUAAUACCGUAUAACAACCAAAACCACCUGGUUUUGGUUUAAAAGACGGCUUCGGCUGUCACUUUAGGAUGGACCCGCGGCGUAUUAGCUUGUUGGUAAGGUAACGGCCUACCAAGGCGAUGAUACGUAGCCGACCUGAGAGGGUAAUCGGCCACAUUGGGACUGAGACACGGCCCAAACUCCUACGGGAGGCAGCAGUAGGGAAUCUUCCACAAUGGACGAAAGUCUGAUGGAGCAACGCCGCGUGAGUGAUGAAGGGUUUCGGCUCGUAAAACUCUGUUGUUGGAGAAGAACAGGUGUCAGAGUAACUGUUGACAUCUUGACGGUAUCCAACCAGAAAGCCACGGCUAACUACGUGCCAGCAGCCGCGGUAAUACGUAGGUGGCAAGCGUUGUCCGGAUUUAUUGGGCGUAAAGCGAGCGCAGGCGGUUUUUUAGGUCUGAUGUGAAAGCCUUCGGCUUAACCGGAGAAGUGCAUCGGAAACCGGGAGACUUGAGUGCAGAAGAGGACAGUGGAACUCCAUGUGUAGCGGUGAAAUGCGUAGAUAUAUGGAAGAACACCAGUGGCGAAGGCGGCUGUCUGGUCUGUAACUGACGCUGAGGCUCGAAAGCAUGGGUAGCGAACAGGAUUAG